CCUACGGGAGGCUGCAGUGGGGAAUAUUGCACAAUGGGCGCAAGCCUGAUGCAGCCAUGCCGCGUAUGUGAAGAAGGCCUUCGGGUUGUAAAGCACUUUCAGCGGGGAGGAAGGCGGUGAGGUUAAUAACCUCAUCGAUUGACGUUACCCGCAGAAGAAGCACCGGCUAACUCCGUGCCAGCAGCCGCGGUAAUACGGAGGGUGCAAGCGUUAAUCGGAAUUACUGGGCGUAAAGCGCACGCAGGCGGUCUGUCAAGUCGGAUGUGAAAUCCCCGGGCUCAACCUGGGAACUGCAUUCGAAACUGGCAGGCUAGAGUCUUGUAGAGGGGGGUAGAAUUCCAGGUGUAGCGGUGAAAUGCGUAGAGAUCUGGAGGAAUACCGGUGGCGAAGGCGGCCCCCUGGACAAAGACUGACGCUCAGGUGCGAAAGCGUGGGGAGCAAACAGGAUUAGAUACCCGUGUAGUC
rnacentral:rRNA from 1 species